GGGAGUAUUAACGAAGGAGAUGAAUAUAGAUGAAUGGGAUGAGUGUGAAUGAAAAAGAUGAGGAAAAGAUUGUGAAUAAAGAGAUGAGUGUGGAUAAAGGAGAUGACUAUGAAUGUAGGUGACGAGUGUAAAAGAUGAGUAUAAAAGGCUUUUUCGAAACUAGUGCUAAAUGAUACAAGGGAUAUGACUUAAGGGUUUGAGUUAUAAAUUAAGUUGAGACGAGAAAGUUGAAUAACAUAUAAGGAACAAAAUACAUAAGUAUUUAAGUAAAUUAAGUUGAGAUAAGAAAGUUGAAAACUAUGUAAGUAACAAAAC
rnacentral:lncRNA from 1 species